GAUGAACGCUGGCGGCAGGCCUAACACAUGCAAGUCGAACGAGUGGCGGACGGGUGAGUAAUGUCUGGGAAACUGCCUGAUGGAGGGGGAUAACUACUGGAAACGGUAGCUAAUACCGCAUACCAUCGGAUGAGCCCAGAUGGGAUUAGGUAGUAGGUGGGGUAACGGCUCACCUAGGCGACGAUCCCUAGCUGGUCUGAGAGGAUGACCAGCCACACUGGAACUGAGACACGGCCCAGACUCCGACGGGAGGCAGCAGUGGGGAAUAUUGCGCAAUGGGCGCAAGCCUGAUGCAGCCAUGCCGCGUGUAUGAAGAAGGCCUUCGGGUUGUAAAGUACUUUCAGCAGGGAGGCGUUACCCACAGAAGAAGCACCGGCUAACUCCGUGCCAGCAGCCGCGGUAAUUC
rnacentral:rRNA from 1 species